GAUGAAGAACGUAGCGAAAUGCGAUAAGUAAUGUGAAUUGCAGAAUUCAGUGAAUCAUCGAAUCUUUGAACGCACAUUGCGCCCGCCAGUAUUCUGGCGGGCAUGCCUGUUCGAGCGUCAUUACAACCCUCAGGCCCCCGGGCCUGGCGUUGGGGAUCGGCGGAGCCCCCCGUGGGCACACGCCGUCCCCCAAAUGCAGUGGCGGUCCCGCCGCAGCUUCCAUCGCGUAGUAGCUAACACCUCGCGACUGGAGAGCGGCGCGGCCACGCCGUAAAACACCCAACUCUUCUGAAGUUGACCUCGAAUCAGGCAGGGAUACCCGCUGAACUUAAGCAUAUCAAUAAGCGGAGGA
rnacentral:misc_RNA from 1 species